UUAAAAUUUAUUUUUUAUUCUUUUUAAUUCCUUUAGUUUUUAUUUCUUUUAAUUUUUUCUUGGUUUUUGUAGUUGUUUAGAUUUGUCUGGUUUUGUUUUUAUUUAUUUCUGUUUAUUUAUUAUUUUUUUAUUGAUUUUUAUUAUUACUUAUAUUGUCUUUAUUUUAUUUUUAGUUAUGUUUUAGAUUUCAGUGAAAUUUUUGGUCUUGUUUUAUUUUUCUGUUUCUGUAUUAUUUUUAUUUUUAAUUUUUAUGUGUUUAUUUGUAUUUUAUUUUGAUUGCUUGUUUUGUAAUGUCUUCAUUUUAUUUCGUCUUUAUUUUUUUAUUUUUAUUUAUUUCAUCUUUGUUUUCUAUUUUUAUUUUUAUUUUUUUAUUCCUUUACUUUUUAUUUAUUUUUAUUUUUUGCUUGUUUUUGUAGUUAGUUUUUUUCCAUUUCUGUUUCUAUUUAUUUUUUGUUUCGUUGUUAUUUAUUUAUUAAUUUUUAUUAUUAUUUAUUUAGAUUUUAUUUUAUUUUUAUCCAUUUUUUCAGUAUUUAGAUUUUAUUUUCAUUUCUGUUCCUGUUUUUAUUUAGUUUUUGUUUCUCUAUUGUUAUUAUUUUUUAAAUUUCCUUCAAUCCCAGAGAUCUUUGGGAAUUCUGGGUGGAUUGCUCUUAAAUCCCAGAGAUCUUUGGGAAUUCCGAAUGGAGCCUGCUCCCUAAAUUCCAGAGAUCAUUGGGACUUUCAUGUGGAUUGUUUCCAUGCCAGUUCCUCAAAAUUCCCAAAAUUUGGGAAUUCCCACAUCCCUAAUUCCCAUCCCACAUCCCAAAUUCCCAUUUUUUUUCCCAUUUUUUCCCUUUUUUUUCCCUUUUUUUCCCCAUUUUUUUCCCAUUUUUCCCCAUUUUCCCCCUCAGUGAAUGGGGUUCUGUGGCCGCAGGAGCCGACACAGCAGCCACACGUUCCAGUGCCGGAUGCUGGUGCAGAUCCCAAAAUUUGGGAAUUCCCACAUCCCAAAUUCCCAUCCCACAUCCCAAAUUCCCAU
rnacentral:lncRNA from 1 species